GGCUUCACAUUGCUUAUUUCAGUAGCAUGACAGACAAAACUGCUAUUUAAAAUGCAAGCAUUGACAAACGUGAAGAAGCAAUUCUGAACUCCGCCGCACAGAAGAAAUGCCAAAGCACCCAACAAAUGUUUUAUUCAUAGCGUGUAGCCAGCUGGGACAUCUGAAUGCAAGAGCAGCUGCGGUACUAGGACGAUCCAUGCAUCGCUGGCCAAGCAAACAUCGUCCCUCAGCUCUCGCACACGCCGCUUCAUACAAUGAUUCCUCCGCCCGGAAGAUAAGAUGAGCUACAGGAGCUGGAUAACACCGCUGCUGUGAAAGGCCGCGGAGGGCGAGCACAACUAUCACACAGCAAACAGGUGUACAGCAAGGACCCGUUCUCUGACCGUUUGCUCUCUGAUGUUCACCUGAGAAGUUUCCGCCUGGAGUCUGAGGAGCGUCAUCUCUCACUGGAGGAAGGAGAAGCUUUAACUGCAGAAGAAGAGCCUCCAGGCUAAAUCAGGCAGAGCUAUAUCAGGAUAAUCGAUUUCUUCCAGGUCAUCAGAGUCGUCUCAGCUGGACUGACUGCACACAG